GAUGAAGAACGCAGCGAAAUGCGAUACUUGGUGUGAAUUGCAGAAUCCCGUGAACCAUCGAGUCUUUGAACGCAAGUUGCGCCCGAACCAUUAGGCCGAGGGCACGCCUGCCUGGGCGUCACACGUCGUUGCCCCCCCAUCUACUCCUUCGGGAUUGCGGGGGGCGGAUGAUGGCCUCUCGUGCGCCUCGUCGCGCGGUUGGCCUAAAUGCCAAGUCCUCGGCGACGCACGCCACGACAAUCGGUGGUUGCGAAACCUCGGUUGCCUGUCGUGUGCGGUCGUCGCGCAUCGAGGGCUCGAAAAAAUUGCCGGGCUUCGGCUCGACUUUCAACGCGACCCCAGGUCAGGCGGGGUUACCCGCUGAAUUUAAGCAUAUCAAUAAGCGGAGGA
rnacentral:misc_RNA from 1 species